rnacentral:rRNA from 1 species
GACGAACGCUGGCGGCGUGCUUAACACAUGCAAGUCGAACGGAAAGGCCCUGCUUUUGUGGGGUGCUCGAGUGGCGAACGGGUGAGUAACACGUGAGUAACCUGCCCUUGACUUUGGGAUAACUUCAGGAAACUGGGGCUAAUACCGGAUAGGAGCUCCUGCUGCAUGGUGGGGGUUGGAAAGUUUCGGCGGUUGGGGAUGGACUCGCGGCUUAUCAGCUUGUUGGUGGGGUAGUGGCUUACCAAGGCUUUGACGGGUAGCCGGCCUGAGAGGGUGACCGGCCACAUUGGGACUGAGAUACGGCGCAGACUCCUACGGGAGGCAGCAGUGGGGAAUAUUGCACAAUGGGCGGAAGCCUGAUGCAGCAACGCCGCGUGCGGGAUGACGGCCUUCGGGUUGUAAACCGCUUUCGCCUGUGACGAAGCGGGAGUGACGGUAAUGGGUAAAGAAGCACCGGCUAACUACGUG